UUCCCGGGGUUUGUUUUUAUUUGGGAUUUCACAAAAACAAGCAAUUUUUUGGACAAAAUACGUGAUAAUUACGCAUAAUUUGUGCUACAAUUUACAAAGAAAAGAUUCCGAUGGUGCUUUCAUUCCUCGUGAACAAUGUCAACAUUCAUUGAAGAUGAAGAAGGUGCCAGCGGUGCAAGCGGUGGAGCUUCAUUCGUGGACACGAAGAAAGAUGCGGGAGGAGAGGACAGUGAUUGCGAGUUGCUUGAAUACGAGCGACAAAUGCUAAUUGAUCUACAGCACAUUGAUGGAUUGGUGAUUUGCGCAAAGGGAAUCCACUACAAUCGUGUAGUUUUAGCUCUUCUCCGUGCUCUCUGUGAUCCCGCAAAUCUUGUCAUUGUGAUGAAUUGCUCAGACACAGAGGAGAAAUUCUAUCGGAGCAAACUCAAUUCUCGGCAUGUCCAUGAGACGGCAACAAAUACGAAGGAACGGGAGAAAAUGUACCUCGAGGGGGGUAUUCAUUUCAUCACAACGCGCAUCCUUGUGGUGGAUUUACUGAAAAAUCGCAUUCCAAUUGAGAUGAUUACGGGGAUAUUUGUUUUACGCGCUCAUACGGUCAUUGAAUCCUGCCAGGAAGCCUUUGCACUGCGACUGUAUCGCCAGAGGAAUAGAGAUGGCUUCGUGAAGGCCUUCUGCAAUAGCGCGGAGUCCUUUACCUUCGGCUAUGGGCACGUUGAGAGGGUGAUUAAUAAUUUGUACGUGAAUGAGUUGUUUGUUUGGCCACGCUUUCAGCAACUCAUUCAGGUUACACUGAAGAAGUACGAACCCGUGAUUGUGGAGUUUCACAUUAAGAUGACUCCGAAGAUGACGUCAAUUCAGACGUAUAUUCUGGAGAUUAUGAAUUAUCUCGUGAAAGAAGUUAAGAGGAUAAAUCCCAACAUUGAUAUGCAGGAGGUAACAGUGGAAAAUUGCGUAACAAAGAAAUUCCACAAGAUCCUUCAGCUGCAGCUGGACACGGUGUGGCAUCAGUUGAGUCAGCAAACAAAAAUGCUCAUAUCGGAACUCAAAACUCUACGAUCACUCAUGAUUACAACAAUCUACCACGAUUGCAUUUCCCUCUAUGCCACUGUCCAGAGGUACAGAAAAACGGAAUAUGCGAUGAAUUGCUCAGGAUGGGUUCUCCUGGAUGCAGCUGAACAGAUGUUUGAGACAGCCAAGAGGCGUGUCUUCAAUGCUGAUGAUGAAUUUGACCCAGAAUGGGGUGCAAAAUGGCAGAGUCUGUCCGAUAUACUUCGUGUGGAGAUUCCCAAUGAUAUUAAGCUAAAUGCAGAGCAGAGGAAGAAUAAAUCUGCCGUUGUUCUCAUUCUGUGUCAAGACAAUAAGACAUGCUACCAACUUAGUCAAUUCCUUAUGAUGGGAGCUGAGCGUCUUCUCCUCAAUAUGGCGCUUAAGAAUGAUGUGAAAGUUGUGAAAAUGUCGAAGAAUUAUCAAAAAAUUGAAGUCACGAAGGGGAUUGAGAUAAAAAUUCACGGAUCUGAUGCAAAACCUUCGGCUGAUGAAGGAACAUCGUCAACAGCUCAACUUAAUGAUCCGGAUGAGCUUCAGGGCGAGGAGAUUGAAGAGGAUCCAUUGGAUGCCUAUCAGGAUUCCUACAUAAUGACCAUGACACUCGAUGGGGCCGCCGAGCAGGAUCUCGAUGUGAGUACGCAAAUGGAAACGGGGGUAUUCUCACAAAUCCCACCGACAGAACGAGAAAAAUGUGUGGCAAAGCCAAUUAUUUGCAUUCAAACAUUCAAAUCCAAUACAAAUGAUUCACUUUCACUGGAGGCAACGCUGCGUGAUCUGGACCCACAGUAUGUGGUAAUGUUUCACUGCAAUGUGACGGCGAUUAGGCAGCUUGAGGUGCAUGAGGCGCGUCUUCGGCGCAAUGAGGAGGAUCGCAUGAAGGUGUUCUUUCUCUUGCACGCCGAAACGAUUGAAGAGCAAAGCUACCUCACGAAUUUACGGCGCGAGAAGCAGGCAUUUGAGCAUCUUAUUGAGACGAAAAAGACGAUGGUGAUUCCCAGGAGAAUAAAUGAGCUAGAGGAGCGGCAGAUGGAGGAAGAGGUGCUGGAUGAAAAGGCAUCACGACGCAAUGCCGAAACACAGAAGCAGGUCAUGAAGAUUGUUACGGAUAUGCGAGAAUUUCGUUCGGAUCUUCCGUGCUUGAUACACAAAUUGGGCAUUGAAGUAAUUCCCAUAACGCUCACAAUUGGGGAUUAUGUUCUAACGCCUGAAGUUUGUGUGGAGAGAAAAUCAAUUUCUGACCUUAUUGGUUCUCUCAAUUCCGGCCGGUUGUACAAUCAAUGCACACAAAUGGUGAGGAAUUACCCUGUGCCCAUACUUCUCAUUGAAUUCGAUCAGAAUAGACCGUUCUACCUUCAGGAUCGCUACAUGAUCUCCAAUGAUACAGUCUCAAAUUCCGACAUAAAGCAGAAGCUACAACUUCUCACGCUUCAUUUCCCAAAAUUACGAAUUGUAUGGUCACCAAAUCCAUACGCCACGGCACAACUCUUCUAUGAAAUGAAGCAAAACAAACCGGAACCAAAUGAAAAACUCUGCUCAGUCAUUGGAUCGGAUUCACACGAUGCCGAAGUUCUUGAAAAGUUUAACACUGAAAUUCAUGAUUUCCUCCUACGUCUUCCGGGGGUGACGGAGAAGAAUGUAAUGAAGCUCAUGAAGUCUUUUCGGGAUUUUAAGGAGCUACUCAAGGCAACGCAGGAAGAACUACAGGAACCCCUUGGGAAUCGUGAAAAUGCUAAACUACUCUGGGAUAUUUUACACGUACCGCAUAAGGCUAAAGUUGAGACAUCAACAACGACCAAGUUCCCCAAUGCCAAAUUCAAGAAUCGCAAAUUUCAAAAGAGGAAGCAAUAGGGAGCUAAAGGAGUGAAAAUUAAUUUAUUGUUUAAGCCGGAUUCUUUAGCAGUUUAAAGGCACAUUUAUUGUAAAUGAUGAAAGGAACGAAAGGAUCAUUAAAUCGUUUUAAGUUCUAAAAUAUGCAAAAAUGGUAAGUAUGUGUUAGCCUAACCCGAGCUGGAUUCGUAAUGAAA